rnacentral:rRNA from 1 species
CGCGUAGGCGGUUUAGUCAGUCAGAUGUGAAAGCCCCGGGCUCAACCUGGGAACUGCAUUUGAUACUGCUAAGCUAGAGUAUGGUAGAGGCAAGUGGAAUUCCAGGUGUAGCGGUGAAAUGCGUAGAUAUCUGGAGGAACAUCAGUGGCGAAGGCGACUUGCUGGACUGAUACUGACGCUGAGGUGCGAAAGCGUGGGUAGCAAACA